GUCAUCGCGAGGUGGGGUCUGAAGGAAGCGUGGAGCAAAGCCAUGACCUGACGACAGAAACUUGAUACCAAGAUCAUCCGAUCGGCAGAGCGAGCAUAUGAUCGCGAAGGCCAUAACCAUCAAGGGUCGAGUGAGUAAAUCAGGCAGGUGUGUGUGAAGGCGGUCGGGC
rfam:Rhodnius prolixus Rhodnius_prolixus-3.0.3-3792.1, whole genome shotgun sequence.